GAAGCUGACCAGACAGUCGCCGCUUCGUCGUCGUCCUUUCGGGGAGACGGGCGGAGGGGAGGAAAGUCCGGGCUCCAUAGGGCAGGGUGCCGGGUAACGCCCGGGGGGAAACCCACGACCAGUGCAACAGAGAGCAAACCGCCGAUGGCCCACGUAAGUGGGAUCAGGUAAGGGUGAAAGGGUGCGGUAAGAGCGCACCGCGCGGCUGGUAACAGUCCGUGGCACGGUAAACUCCACCCGGAGCAAGGCCAAAUAGGGGUUCAUAAGGUACGGCCCGUACUGAACCCGGGUAGGCUGCUUGAGCCAGUGAGCGAUUGCUGGCCUAGAUGAAUGACUGUCCACGACAGAACCCGGCUUAUCGGUCAGUUUCACUU
rnacentral:RNase_P_RNA from 1 species